GACGUAGGGAGCGAGCGUUGUCCGGAUUCAUUGGGCGUAAAGGGUCCGUAGGCGGCUCAGCAAGUCGGGUGUGAAAUCUCCAGGCUCAACCUGGAGGGGCCACUCGAUACUGCUGUGGCUUGAGUCCAGUAGGGGAGCAUGGAAUUCCCGGGUGUAGCGGUGAAAUGCGCAGAUAUCGGGAGGAACACCAGUGGCGAAGGCGGCUUACUGGUCCGGUUCGACGCUGA
rnacentral:rRNA from 1 species